rnacentral:rRNA from 1 species
NNGAGUGGGCACCACCUGAUCCCAUGCCGAACUCAGAAGUGAAACCACUUAGCGCCGAUGAUAGUGUGGGGUCUCCCCAUGUGAAAGUAGGU